AUGAUCAAGCUACAAAGGGCAUAUGGUGAAUGCCUUGGCACCAGUAGCCGAUGAAGGACGCGAUAAGCUGCGAUAAGCUUCGGGUAGGCGCAAAUAGCCUGUGAUCCGGAGAUUUCCGAAUGGGGAAACCUGCAUACCUAACGGUAUGUACCGUAAAUUGAAUACAUAGAUUUACGGGGGUAUACCCGGGGAACUGAAACAUCUAAGUACCCGGAGGAAGAGAAAGAAAAAUCGAUUUUCNNNNNNNNNNNNNNNNNNNNNNNNNNNNNNNNNCAUCGAAGAGAGCUGGAACGCUCUACCACAGAAGGUAAUAGUCCUGUAGGUAAAAAAUUAUGUCUUUUAGGUCUAAUCCAGAGUACCACGAGACACGUGAAACCUUGUGGGAAGCAGGGAGGACCACCUCCCAAGGCUAAAUACUAACUGGUGACCGAUAGUGAAGCAGUACCGUGAGGGAAAGGUGAAAAGAACCCCGGGAGGGGAGUGAAAUAGAACCUGAAACCGUAUGCUUACAAACAGUGGGAGCACGUUAAUGUGUGACCGCGUGCUUUUUGUAGAACGAGCCAGCGAGUUACGGUAUGUAGCAAGGUUAAGCACUUAAGGUGCGUAGCCGAAGGGAAACCGAGUCUGAAUAGGGCGACUAGUUGCAUGCCGUAGACCCGAAACCGAGUGACCUAUCCAUGGGCAGGUUGAAGCGGAAGUAAAAUUCCGUGGAGGACCGAACCACGUUGGUGUUGAAAAACCAUGGGAUGACCUGUGGAUAGCGGAGAAAUUCCAAUCGAACUCGGAGAUAGCUGGUUCUCCUCGAAAUAGCUUUAGGGCUAGCGUCUGGUUAUUGAGUAAUGGAGGUAGAGCACUGAAUGGGCUAGGGGCUGACAACAGUUACUGAACCCUAUCAAACUCCGAAUGCCAUAUACUUUUAUCCAGGCAGUCAGACUGCGAGUGAUAAGAUCCGUAGUCGAGAGGGAAACAACCCAGACCAUCAGCUAAGGUCCCAAAGUGUAAGUUAAGUGGAAAAGGAUGUGGGAUUUCUAAGACAACUAGGAUGUUGGCUUAGAAGCAGCCACUCAUUUAAAGAGUGCGUAAUAGCUCACUAGUCAAGAGAUCCUGCGCCGAAGAUGUCCGGGGCUCAAACUUACCACCGAAGCUAUGGAUUCAAUAGAAUGGUAGAGGAGCUUCCUGUAUGGGUAGAAGUCGUAUCGUAAGAAGCGGUGGACUGUACAGGAGUGAGUAUGCUGGCAUGAGUAGCGAGAAAUAAGUGAGAAUCUUAUUGGUCGAAAACCUAAGGUUUCCUGAGGAAGGUUCGUCCGCUCAGGGUUAGUCGGGACCUAAGCCCAGGCCGAAAGGCGUAGGUGAUGGACAAUCGGUUGAUAUUCCGAUACCGCCAACUUUCGUUUGACAAAUGGGGUGACACAGAAGGAUAAGGUAUGCACACUAUUGGAUGUGUGUCUAAGCACUUAGGCGUGCUUGAUUGGCAAAUCCGUCAAGCUAAGCUGAGGUGUUAUGGGGAGCCUAUUUUGGCGAAGUGCCUGAUUCCACACUGUCAAGAAAAGCCUCUAUGGAGAAUGUUGGUGCCCGUACCGCAAACCGACACAGGUAGGUGAGGAGAGAAUCCUAAGACCAUCGGAAGAAUUGCUGUUAAGGAACUAGGCAAAUUGACCCCGUAACUUCGGGAGAAGGGGUGCCAUGGAAACAUGGCCGCAGUGAAUAGGCCCAAGCAACUGUUUAGCAAAAACACAGGUCUCUGCUAAAGCGAAAGCUGAUGUAUAGGGGCUGACGCCUGCCCGGUGCUGGAAGGUUAAANNNNNNNNNNNGCGUAAGCGAAGCGGUGAACUUAAGCCCCAGUGAACGGCGGCCGUAACUAUAACGGUCCUAAGGUAGCGAAAUUCCUUGUCGGGUAAGUUCCGACCCGCACGAAUGGCGUAAUGACUUGGGCACUGUCUCAACAGCAAAUCCGGCGAAAUUGUAGUGCAAGUGAAGAUGCUUGCUACCCGCGAUAGGACGGAAAGACCCCGUAGAGCUUUACUGUAGCUUAACAUUGAAUUUCGGUAUUGUCUGUACAGGAUAGGUGGGAGACUUAGAAGCAGGAGCGUCAGUUUCUGUGGAGUCAUCCUUGGGAUACCACCCUGAUAGUACUGAAAUUCUAACCGGGGACCAUGAAUCUGGUCACGGGACAUUGUUAGGUGGGCAGUUUGACUGGGGCGGUCGCCUCCUAAAAAGUAACGGAGGCGCCCAAAGGUUCCCUCAGCGCGGUCGGAAAUCGCGCGUAGAGUGUAAAGGCAUAAGGGAGCCUGACUGCGACACAUACAGGUGGAGCAGGGACGAAAGUCGGGCUUAGUGAUCCGGUGGUUCCUCGUGGGAGGGCCAUCGCUCAACGGAUAAAAGCUACCUCGGGGAUAACAGGCUGAUCUCCCCCAAGAGUCCACAUCGACGGGGAGGUUUGGCACCUCGAUGUCGGCUCGUCGCAUCCUGGGGCUGGAGUAGGUCCCAAGGGUUGGGCUGUUCGCCCAUUAAAGCGGCACGCGAGCUGGGUUCAGAACGUCGUGAGACAGUUCGGUCCCUAUCCGUCGCGGGCGUAGGAAAUUUGAAGGGAGCUGUCCUUAGUACGAGAGGACCGGGAUGGACUGACCUCUGGUGCACCAGUUGUCACGCCAGUGGCACAGCUGGGUAGCUAAGUCGGGAAGGGAUAAACGCUGAAAGCAUCUAAGCGUGAAGCCCACCCUAAGAUGAGAUUUCCCAUGACGUAAGUCAAUAAGAUCCCUUGAAGAACACAAGGUUGAUAGGUCAGAGGUGUAAGUGCAGCAAUGUAUUUAGCUGACUGAUACUAAUAGAUCGAAGGCUUGAUCAAAUU
rnacentral:rRNA from 1 species